UAACAAAAACAUGUCUUAUUGUUAUAGUUGUAUAAUAAGUUAGGCCUGCCCAAUGAUUUUUAUUUAAUGGCUGCAGUAUUUUAACUGUACAAAGGUAGCAUAAUAAUUAGUUUUUUAAUUGAGGACUAGAAUGAAGGGUUUUAUGAAAUAUAAACUUUAUUAUAAUAAUAAUUUAUAAUUUUAUUUUUUAGUGAUAAAGCUAAAAUAUUUAUAUUAGACGAGAAGACCCUAUAGAUUUUAAUAAUUAUGAUUAUUAAAUUUAUUAAGUAUUAAAAUAAUAAAUUAAUUAGAAUUAUUUUAUUGGGGUGAUAGUAAAAUUUAAUUAAUUUUUAUAUAAUUAUUCCAUUAAUAUAUGAAUAAUUGAUCCAUUGAUAGUGAUUAUUAAAUUAAAUUACCUUAGGGAUAACAGCAUAAUUUAUUUGGAAAGUUCUUAUUGAUAAGUGAGAUUAUGACCUCGAUGUUGAAUUAAGAUAAAUGUUAGGAGUAGAAAUCUUAAUGAUAAGUCUGUUCG
rnacentral:rRNA from 1 species